GACAGGUUCCCUUUAAUAGAAGGAUUUUUUUUUUUAUAUUAAAACACACUACCAGGUUACCCAGUGAGAAAACAUAACAUAUGUACACAUAAGGCUGAGCUCAUCUGGGCGGUAUCUGUUACUCCCCUGAGAUCAGUGUUCUAUAACACGCUGCAAUUACACUGAAGUACGAGCACACCUUUUUCCAUUCGUCCACACGGCACUAUACCGAAUGCUAGAGACAUUUUAUUAGACAGAAAAACUCCAGAAGUGUGCACCGCAGGGGCUUAGCAUCUCAAUGGUCAGUGGUGAGCCCAAACUGGCCAGGGCUGCAACAUCCAAUCAGAAAUCCUAUCAUCAAUGACCUGUUAUUGAUAAUUGGAUUUCUUAUUAGGUGUUGCAGCCUUGGACGGUUUGGGCUCAACACUGACAGGUCAAUAGUCAAUGACAGCAAACCCAAGGGAGCGACACAAACCAAAAUACAGAUCUCUCUGGUCUGGGACAAGCCAAAGAAAAACCAGCAGGUCUAGUAUUUCCACCAAAAUUUUUCAAGUUAUAAUCUUCCAUAUGGAUGAACAGCCAUCUUAGAAAUAGUAAGCCCACGACCAAAAAUAGGACAUGAUUUUGUCUCAUUUGACUGGGCAAAAGCAUAAGAUAUGACAUGUCACUUUUUACACAUUGCCGAUUUCAAAUCCGCAGUGGAGAAAUUCUGGAGUGGGCGACCUACUGUACUGAUCACACCGAAACCAAUGGCAGGUGUGAACACGCCCUAAGAGCAUAGAUCUCCCAACAACAGAAGGAUUGUUUCAUAACCGGUGGCCGUCCCCCAAAGCAAGAAAUACAUUUUUUUAAUUCAGGACAACACCACCUGUGCUGUGACCCAAAGCCAUAUCCACAAUCCUACAUGGUAUGUGACAAUAUCACCCAAAGUGCACGCAUUUAUAUAUGAGGGGUGGGGGCUGCAGAUAGCCGUCCGUUUCACAGAAAAUCUGAUCUACACGGCUGUGUUAGAGGAGUACAGCACACAGAUCUAUGCAAGUCUCAGAGGUCAAUGGAGCCGCAGCGACAAAUGAGACGCCAUUCAAAUAGGGAACAUGGGGCCCCCAGUGCUUGGCCCCCGCCAAUCACUUAGCCAGUUUUCUGUGGAUAGGGUAUAAGUGUGUUUGCUUGUCAGACAGCCGGGGGGGGGGGGGGCUAUGUAUAGGGCGCUCCCGACUCCUCAUGUUGAAGGGAAGGAGAAUGGGGCAUGUUGGAUUUCAACACCCAAUCCUUUUGUUUUUCUGAGAGAUAAGCUGCCAGAGAAGUCUGAAACCUGCCUACUCCUCUCCCCCCCCCCAUUAAAAAACAACAGAUGUCCCGCUGACAAUGUUGGGAGGGAUAACAUUUGGUUGGCAGAAACAAAACAUAAAUGGGCACCUAUACUCCUUUCUCCGCAUUCAGAAUACAUGAUGCACACCAGGCCGGGGUAGUCGGGAGAGAGCGCAGUUGGGACAAACAAGCCUUUGCCUGACAGCUUAUAAAACGUACGGUCAACUCUUUAAAGCAUUAUUCCCAUCUUGGACAUUGGGGUAUAUCUAGGGGCUAGGAUAUAAGCCCCCGUGUCUGAUAGGUGCGCGUCCCAGAGGUGGGAGCCUGCAAAGUGCCAGAGGGCACACUGCGCAUGCAUUGCCUCCCUCCAUUCAUUUCUAGCGUACAGACGAAAAUAGAGUGCCUUGCGCGACCAUUUUCUGAAGUCCCAUGAGUGAAUGGUAAGCGCACCACACAAGCGCCGCCACCGUUCCAUUCACUUCUAUGGAAGCUCACGGAAAUAGUGCUCAUAAGUCCCAUAGAAAUGAAUGAAUGGAGUGGUGCCGCGUAUGCGCGGUGACACUUUGCAGGCUCCAUUCUAAGUAUAGGUGCGGGACCCACACCCAUCAGACUUUGGGGGCAUAUCGCUAGAUGGGAAUACCCUUUUAAGAGUACACCCCCAUACAGAAGAAAUGUCUGCAACAGAUAAUCAGUUCCAUUCAUUAUAAUAGGACUUUAAAAAAAAAAAAAAAAAAAGAACACGUGCUUGCUGCCAAAACAACCCCAUUCAGAUGUGUGGAACAGGUUUUCAGGUGCAGACAUUUCUGCCACAUUAUCCGCCGCGCGAGAAAGAAUCUAAUGCAUUUCAAAGACUCAACAACAAGGACGGCUGCUCUGCGGUCAAAGCAUCCAAAUCCUGGAUUACUCAGCGCCCACAAUUACAAAACACAGGAAUGGUGUAAACCUGCAGUCAAACACAUGAACUAAUCACACUGAAUCAUCAGACUGAUGACAUCACUCAGCUAGACGAGCCACAGCACGUCACAGGCGGCUGCAGUCCACGCCCGAUCCUCAAAUACCUCAAGACACUUGUCAGCCCACAGCUAUUCCUCCCGACUCCACAGACACAUUUGCCUGAGCAUGAAGGUUGUCAGUGGGCAGAGGGGAAAAAGCCGCAGCCAGGCUCCACUGUCCACAGCCUACCCCCUGCGAGAACAAAGGAUCGGAUCCUUUCCCCUCCCCCGACAUAACAGGGGGCAGUUGGGGGAUCCACCUUCAUUACAGUCUAUAGGACUCUGUGGUCUGACGGCCCAUAGACUUUGAAUGCAGUGGCAGGGCGCACAUUACAACUGCUCCAUGAAGUUCUUCAGGGUGAAGAGGAACUGGGACCAUUCUAGUGAACGCAGGGCUCCAGCCAUCAUACAUCUAUGCUAUGGAUAGGUGAUAAAUGCUUUUUGUUUUAAUGGGCGAGGGGGGUCUACAAUUCAGGGGCUCUAUUCAGACUUAAGACGGGCUGCACAGCAAUCUUGGGCUGAUCAAGGAUUGCAGUGCCGCCAUAGAAAUGAGUGAGGUCUCAGCGCAACUUACAAGUUGGAAGCAACUGCAAACCCAGAAUCGCAAAAGCUGCUGGAUUUUUUUAAGACUCUGGGGUCGCUUCAAACUUGUGAGUCGCACUGCGACCAAACUCGUAUCCACGGCAACAAUGCUACACUGUAAUCCUUGAUCGCCCCCCAAGAUUGCCGUGUAGCCCCCCGUGUAGCAUUCACACUUUGCGGAAAUUUCUGCCACAAAAGCUGCAAGGAAAACUUGGUUCCAUCCACCUGAAUGAACCUUACAGAAAUCCAAGUGCUUGCUGCCCCAUCCAAAUUAGGGCAGGCUCACAUAACCGUUUCAUGUUCCAUUCUUCUGAUCCGUCGCGCAUGUUAUUU